rnacentral:pre_miRNA from 1 species
UUAGUACUCCCUCCGUCCGAUAAUACUUGUCAUCAAAAUGGAUAGAAGGGGAUGUAUCUAGACGUAUUUUAGUUCUAGAUACAUCUCUUUUUAUCUAUUUUGAUGACAAGUAUUUUCGGACGGAGGGAGUACUAC